AAGUCGUAACAAGGUUUCCGUAGGUGAACCUGCGGAAGGAUCAUUAACGAAGUGGUGCGGGGUGGUUUGGGAGGUUGCUGGUCUGAGAGCUGAAAGGCGGUCGGGCUGACGAUUGAACCAGGCCAUCUUGCCUAAAGACCCACUCCUGCAAGGGAGCUGGCCGAGUGUGGUUGGGGGUGCGGAGGUGUUGAGUGCUGGUGGUGCAAUUCUGCGCUGCUCAACUCUCAACGAUCCGCCUUCUCAGCUACACUCAAAUAAACCAUGAAUUCUGACAUUAAAAAUAAAACUUUAACAAGGAUAACUUUUAACAAUGGAUCUCUUGGCUCCU
rnacentral:misc_RNA from 1 species